rnacentral:rRNA from 1 species
GGGUGAGUAACGCAUAGGAAUUUACCCGGUAGUGGGGGAUAACCUGGGGAAACCCAGGCUAAUACCGCAUACGUCCUACGGGAGAAAGGGGGCUUUGGCUCCCGCUAUCGGAUGAGCCUAUGCCGGAUUAGCUGGUUGGUGAGGUAAUGGCUCACCAAGGCGACGAUCCGUAGCUGGUCUGAGAGGAUGAUCAGCCACAUCGGGACUGAGACACGGCCCGAACUCCUACGGGAGGCAGCAGUGGGGAAUAUUGGACAAUGGGGGCAACCCUGAUCCAGCCAUGCCGCGUGUGUGAAGAAGGCCCUCGGGUUGUAAAGCACUUUCAGCGAGGAAGAACGCCUAUCGGUUAAUACCCGGUAGGAAAGACAUCACUCGCAGAAGAAGCACCGGCUAACUCCGUGCCAGCAGCCGCGGUAAUACGGAGGGUGCAAGCGUUAAUCGGAAUUACUGGGCGUAAAGCGCGCGUAGGUGGCUUGAUAAGCCGGUUGUGAAAGCCCCGGGCUCAACCUGGGAACGGCAUCCGGAACUAUUAGGCUAGAGUGCAGGAGAGGAAGGUAGAAUUCCCGGUGUAGCGGUGAAAUGCGUAGAGAUCGGGAGGAAUACCAGUGGCGAAGGCGGCCUUCUGGACUGACACUGACACUGAGGUGCGAAAGCGUGGGUAGCAAACAGGAUUAGAUACCCUGGUAGUCCACGCCGUAAACGAUGUCGACCAGCCGUUGGGUGCCUAGCGCAC